UACGUAGGGUGCAAGCGUUAAUCGGAAUUACUGGGCGUAAAGCGUGCGCAGGCGGUUUUGUAAGUCUGUCGUGAAAUCCCCGGGCUUAACCUGGGAAUGGCGAUGGAGACUGCAAGGCUAGAAUCUGGCAGAGGGGGGUAGAAUUCCACGUGUAGCAGUGAAAUGCGUAGAGAUGUGGAGGAACACCGAUGGCGAAGGCAGCCCCCUGGGCUAAGAUUGACGCUCA
rnacentral:rRNA from 1 species